rnacentral:rRNA from 1 species
UGAGUGCGAGCGGCUACGGCCGCGAAGUGGGUGAUGUCAAGCUCCCAAGAAAAGCCCUAUACCCGUUAAGGCAUGAUGGCCUGUACCCGAAACCGACACAGGUGGGGUGGUAGAGAAUACCGAGGGGCGCGAGGUAACUCUCUCUAAGGAACUCGGCAAAAUGGCCCCGUAACUUCGGGAGAAGGGGUGCCACCGCAAGGUGGUCGCAGUGAAGAGGCCCAGGCGACUGUUUACCAAAAACACAGGUCUCCGCUAAGUCGCAAGACGAUGUAUGGGGGCUGACGCCUGCCCAGUGCCGGAAGGUUAAGGAAGCUGGUCAGCGCAAGCGAAGCUGGCUACUGAAGCCCCGGUGAACGGCGGCCGUAACAAUAACGGUCCUAAGGUAGCGAAAUUCCUUGUCGGGUAAGUUCCGACCCGCACGAAAGGCGUAACGAUCUGGGCGCUGUCUCGGAGAGAGGCUCGGCGAAAUAGAAUUGUCUGUGAAGAUGCGGACUACGUGCACCCGGACAGAAAGACCCUAUGAAGCUUUACUGUAGCUUGGUAUUGUGCCCGGGCUCUGAAUGCGCAGGAUAGGUGGGAGGCUUUGAUCCAUGGCUUGCGGGUCAUGGUGAGCCAACGGUGAGAUACCACUCUUUCAGAGCUAGGGUUCUAACGGUCACCCGUCAUCCGGGGACCGGACAGUAUCAGGUGGGCAGUUUGACUGGGGCGGUCGCCUCCUAAAAGGUAACGGAGGCGCGCAAAGGUUUGCUCAGGCUGGUUGGAAAUCAGCUGACGAGUGCAAAAGCAGAAGCAAGCUUGACUGUGAGACCUACAAGUCGAACAGGGACGAAAGUCGGCUUUAGUGAUCCGACGGUUCUGAGUGGAAGGGCCGUCGCUCAACGGAUAAAAGUUACUCUAGGAUAACAGGCUGAUCUCCCCCAAGAGUUCACAUCGACGGGGAGGUUUGGCACCUCGAUGUCGGCUCAUCGCAACCUGGGGCUGAAGUCGGUCCCAAGGGUUGGGCUGUUCGCCCAUAAAAGCGGUACGCGAGCUGGGUUCAGAACGUCGUGAGACAGUUCGGUCCAUAUCCGGUGCACGCGCAGGAACAUUGAGAGGAUUUCUCCCUAGUACGAGAGGACCGGGAGGAACGCACCUCUGGUGUGCCAGUUAUCGUGCCAACGGUAAACGCUGGGUAGCCAUGUGCGGAGUGGAUAACCGCUGAAAGCAUCUAAGUGGGAAGCCCACCUCAAGAUGAGUGUUCCCAUGGCAUAAGCCAGUAAGGUCACGGGAAGAACACCCGUUGAUAGGCUCUACGUGGAAGCCGGGUAACCGGUGAAGCGGAGGAGUACUAAUAGACCGAGGGCUUGAC